rnacentral:rRNA from 1 species
GAUGAACGCUAGCGGCAGGCUUAAUACAUGCAAGUCGAGGGGCAUCAAGGUACACGAAAGUGUAUUGUUGGCGACCGGCGGACGGGUGAGUAAUAGGUAGGUAACCUACCUCAUACUGAGGCAUAGCUGGGAGAAAUUCCAGGUAAUUCCUCAUGAGGUUAUAUGACACAUGUGAUAUAAUCAAAGGUAUCGCAAGGUACUGGUAUGAGAUGGGCUUACUGACCAUUAGCUAGUUGGUGAGAUAAGAGCUCACCAAGGCGAAGAUGGUUAGGGGUUUUGAGAGAGAGAUCCCCCACAUUGGAACUGAGAUACGGUCCAGACUCCUACGGGAGGCAGCAGUAGGGAAUAUUGGGCAAUGGGCGAAGCCUGACCCAGCCAUGCCGCGUGAAGGAAGACGGCCUUAUGGGUUGUAAACUUCUUUACUAUGCGACUAACUAGAUUUACGAGAUAAUUCUAUAGAAUGUAGCAUAGCAAAAAGCACCGGA